rnacentral:rRNA from 1 species
CAGAGACUGCAAGCGUUAUUCGGAUUCACUGGGCGUAAAGGGUGCGCAGGCGGCCGAGUGUGUAAGGCGUGAAAGCCCGGGGCUUAACCCCGGAAUUGCACCUCAAACUACACGGCUAGAGCAUUGGAGAGGGUAGCAGAAUUCAUGGUGUAGCAGUGAAAUGCGUAGAUAUCAUGAGGAAUACCAGAGGCGAAGGCGGCUACCUGGACAAUUGCUGACGCUCAGGCACGAAAGCGUGGGGAGCAAAAGGGAUUAGAUACCCCUGUAGUCCACGCCCUAAACGGUGCACACUAGGUCUUGGCGGAUUCGACCCCACCAGGGCCCAAGCUAACGCGUUAAGUGUGCCGCCUGAGGACUACGGCCGCAAGGCUA